UCCAGACUCCUACGGGAGGCAGCAGUCGGGAAUAUUGCGCAAUGGAGGAAACUCUGACGCAGUGACGCCGCGUAUAGGAAGAAGGUUUUCGGAUUGUAAACUAUUGUCGUUAGGGAAGAGAAAGGACAGUACCUAAGGAGGAAGCUCCGGCUAACUACGUGCCAGCAGCCGCGGUAAUACGUAGGGAGCGAGCGUUAUCCGGAAUUAUUGGGUGUAAAGGGUGCGUAGACGGGAAGGCAAGUUGGUUGUGAAAUCCCUCGGCUUAACUGAGGAACUGCAACCAAAACUAUCUUUCUUGAGUGCUGGAGAGGAAAGUGGAAUUCCUAGUGUAGCGGUGAAAUGCGUAGAUAUUAGGAGGAACACCAGUGGCGAAGGCGACUUUCUGGACAGUAACUGACGUUGAGGCACGAAAGUGUGGGGAGCAAACAGGAUUAGAUACCCUCGUAA
rnacentral:rRNA from 1 species